UUUUUUUUUUUUUUUGGCUGCCCCACAGCAUACUGAGUUCCUAGGCCAGAGAUCAGAUCUGAGCCACAGUUGUGACCUACACUGUAGCAGAGGCAACACCCAGUGCUAACCCACUGUGCCAGGCUGGGUAUUGACCUGCAUCCCAGCACUCCAGAGACACUGCCAAUGCCACUACACCAAAGCAGUAACUCCUUGAUGGCUGUUCGUAUUAUACAUGACCAUGGCAGGUGUAACAGCUACUUCAAUUAUUCCAUUACUUUUGUAAGAAGUGAAAAGACCUUUCAUUUUGAGUAGACUCAAAAUGCAUUCAUUCUCAGCAGAGAUUUUAAGCAGUUGUUCUCACAAUGAUACUUAAUUUAAAGGACCAUUGUUUUCCCAUACAAAAUCAAUAACUUAAAAGUUUUCCAUUCUUCCAUUAAACAAAAACUGCAUAAGUGACCAUGUUUCAGGAGUUCCCAUCGUGGCGCAGCGGUUAACGAAUCCGACUAGGAACCAUGAGGUUGCACCAUGAGGUUGCGGGUUCGGUCCCUGCCCUUGCUCAGUGGGUUAACGAUCCGGCGUUGCCAUGAGCUGUGGUGUAGGUUGCAGACGCGGCUCAGUUCCCGCGUUGCUGUGGCUCUGGCGUAGGCCGGGGGCUACAGCUCCCCCAGCUCCGAUUCGACCCCUAGCCUGGGAACCUCCAUAUGCUGCGGGAGCGGCCCAAGAAAUGGCAAAAAGACAAAAAAACAAAAAACAAAAAAAAAACAAAGACCAUGUUUCAGAUCAUCAAAAAUAAUGUAAAAACCUGUUCUAGCAUUUUAUAGCUGGAAGAGAUUUUAGUCUCUCUUCACAUCUCCUUUUAUAGAUAAGGAAACUGAGGCCUAGAAGAGUUCAAUGAAUUCUCUAAACCAGCAUGAUUAACUGGGUUAUGAGGGUUAAAGGGUUAGAUUAAGGUUAUAUUUAAGAACUGGACCUCCUGAUAUUUGGGAAGUUGUUCUACACUGGGCAAAAACAUCUUGACUUCUAUUUGUAUGGGCUGGCUUUGCAGAUUAAUUGUAGAAUCAAGAUUCUUCCUCCUUUGUUAUGUUUCUACUACUUCUAGCAAAAGGUGGAUCAUGUUUUCAAUCAUUGGAUACUUUCUGAUUUACUCACUCAAAUGAUACAGAUGUCAGUUGUAUCCAUAUAUCUACAUCUUUAUCUGUGUACCACAGUCUUAUUUAUUUGAAAACAUCCCUAAACUGAGUAUUUGGUCAUUUUCAAUAUUUCUUAAAUAUGGAGAAGAAUGAUUUAAAAGACUAAAUUAAGGUAAUUUAAGUGGUAUUAUUAAAAAAGGCAGAAAAGCUUUUUCAUCAGUAAGGCGAAUAUGUAAACCGUGGAAGAACUGGGCAAUCUCAAUGUCAAAAUAGACAAGAAAUACAUAAAUUUACCUUGGAAAAUGUAAAGGGAAAGAAGAGAGGAAAAAAUAAAGUAGAAUAGAAAUCGAACAGAAUGUAUUUAUCUCUCAUCUUUAGUUGAAAAAUGGCAAGAGGGAAAUUUUUAAAAAUUAGAAUGAAAUGGGUCAAUCUACAAAAUAGGAAACAAUAAAUCAGCAGUAUUUUUACUGCAACCCCCUCUGAGCAGCUGGAGAGUUUCUGGUUCUCCAAGACAAGACUAUAUGGAUCACAAAAUUGAAUGCCAACAAUGCCCCUACCUAAAUGAAAAAGUAUUAGCAAAAUCAUUAGAAAAUUAUCUAAAAACACUUUUAACACUAAUUAUUUAGGUUUAGAGAGAAAGUAAGAAGGAUUCUGACUUGAUAUUUAGCUGAUGAAACGGGUUGCACAUUAUACAAUACACUCUACAGGAAGAAUUAUCUUACAUUUCAAUAUCAGUAGAGGAAAUUAGCAUAAUCACAAGGGAAAAAAAAGGAGGGAUUUCAUUUUCUUUUCACAUAUUCAGUAUGAUAUCCUGAUACCCACAUGUCAAGUAAAUUAUAAAAGUAGUGAUAAUUAGAUUUAUAUGAAAAUAUACAUCUGUUAUAACAUCCAACUGGAUGUGGGAAUUGAAUGAGAAAACACAUUCAUAACACCCAGUACAAUAUCAGGCAUUAUACUAGGUAUAAUUUCAAUAAUCAUUUAUUAUAAUCAUUACCCCAACCUCAUGCAGCCUAACAAUGAUCCUCAACAUUAAUUUUACCUCUCUAAAGAUAUCAUAAAAUAAAGCCUGGUGUCUAUGUUCAAGAAACUAAGCUAAUGAUUUCCCUUUUUGGUCUCUACUGGCAUUCUCAGGAAUUUAAAAUUCUAACUAAUUACAUCCCUUUCUUCAUUCUGAUGCAAAUAGAAUUAAAAAUAAUAAUAAUAAAGGUGCACAGAGAAUAUUAUUACUUACAAAUAUUUAGCUCAACAGUCAUCUGUCCUAAGCCCAGCCUCAAAGCUUUAGAGCUGCUCUUAGCUCCUCCCAGCCCCCAGUCCCCAGGUCCCUCCAUCCUAGGAUUGACAGACAUCCUCGGAAGGCAUGGCUAAUUCCUUAGUCUCUGCUUUCUCAGAUUCUUUUAAAGCUCUUUAUAUGCACCAUUUACAUUCCCCCAACAUGUACGCUAAAUUGCAACUUAUUAAAUACACAUUUAUUGAGGAUUUAAUAUGUGAGAAGCAAAUAUCUUGUCCUCAGAUCUGUGAUUAACCCUUAAUCACAAAAAUACUAAAAAAAAAAAA
rnacentral:lncRNA from 1 species